rnacentral:rRNA from 1 species
AGGGUUUGAUCAUGGCUCAGAUUGAACGCUGGCGGCAGGCCUAACACAUGCAAGUCGAGCGGUAGAGAGAAGCUUGCUUCUCUUGAGAGCGGCGGACGGGUGAGUAAUGCCUAGGAAUCUGCCUGGUAGUGGGGGAUAACGUUCGGAAACGGACGUUAAUACCGCAUACGUCCUACGGGAGAAAGCAGGGGACCUUCGGGCCUUGCGCUAUCAGAUGAGCCUAGGUCGGAUUAGCUAGUUGGUGAGGUAAUGGCUCACCAAGGCGACGAUCCGUAACUGGUCUGAGAGGAUGAUCAGUCACACUGGAACUGAGACACGGUCCAGACUCCUACGGGAGGCAGCAGUGGGGAAUAUUGGACAAUGGGCGAAAGCCUGAUCCAGCCAUGCCGCGUGUGUGAAGAAGGUCUUCGGAUUGUAAAGCACUUUAAGUUGGGAGGAAGGGUUGUAGAUUAAUACUCUGCAAUUUUGACGUUACCGACAGAAUAAGCACCGGCUAACUCUGUGCCAGCAGCCGCGGUAAUACAGAGGGUGCAAGCGUUAAUCGGAAUUACUGGGCGUAAAGCGCGCGUAGGUGGUUUGUUAAGUUGGAUGUGAAAUCCCCGGGCUCAACCUGGGAACUGCAUUCAAAACUGACUGACUAGAGUAUGGUAGAGGGUGGUGGAAUUUCCUGUGUAGCGGUGAAAUGCGUAGAUAUAGGAAGGAACACCAGUGGCGAAAGGCGACCACCUGGACUAAUACUGACACUGAGGUGCGAAAGCGUGGGGAGCAAACAGGAUUAGAUACCCUGGUAGUCCACGCCGUAACGAUGUCAACUAGCCGUUGGAAGCCUUGAGCUUUUAGUGGCGCAGCUAACGCAUUAAGUUGACCGCCUGGGGAGUACG